GUGGGUACUAGGUGUGGGUUUCCUUCCUUGGGAUCCGUGCCGUAGCUAACGCAUUAAGUACCCCGCCUGGGGAGUACGGUCGCAAGACUAAAACUCAAAGGAAUUGACGGGGGCCCGCACAAGCGGCGGAGCAUGUGGAUUAAUUCGAUGCAACGCGAAGAACCUUACCUGGGUUUGACAUGCACAGGACGUACCUAGAGAUAGGUAUUCCCUUGUGGCCUGUGUGCAGGUGGUGCAUGGCUGUCGUCAG
rnacentral:rRNA from 1 species